rnacentral:rRNA from 1 species
AUUGAACGCUGGCGGCAUGCCUAACACAUGCAAGUCGAACGGGGCAGCAAUGCCUAGUGGCGGACGGGUGAGGAAUACGUAGGAAUCUGCCCUUAAGUGGGGGAUAACCAGGGGAAACCCUGACUAAUACCGCAUGAUCUCUUCGGAGCAAAGAGGGGGGCCGCAAGGCCUCUCGCUUCUGGAUGAGCCUACGUCUGAUUAGCUAGUUGGUAGGGUAAAGGCCUACCAAGGCGACGAUCAGUAACUGGUCUGAGGGGAUGAUCAGUCACACCGGAACUGAGACACGGUCCGGACUCCUACGGGAGGCAGCAGUGGGGAAUAUUGGACAAUGGGCGCAAGCCUGAUCCAGCAAUGCCGCGUGUGUGAAGAAGGCCUUCGGGUUGUAAAGCACUUUAGCCUGGAAAGAAAAAACUUUGGUUAACACCCAAAGUCUUGACGGUACCAGGAGAAUAAGCACCGGCUAACUCUGUGCCAGCAGCCGCGGUAACAC